GACGAACGCUGGCGGCGUGCUUAACACAUGCAAGUCGAACGAUGAAGCUAGAGCUUGCUCUGGUGAAUUAGUGGCGAACGGGUGAGUAACACGUGAGUAACCUGCCCCGAACUCUGGGAUAACUGCUGGAAACGGUAGCUAAUACUGGAUACGACCUACGAAGGCAUCUUCUGUAGGUGGAAAGAAUUUCGGUUCGGGAUGGACUCGCGGCCUAUCAGCUUGUUGGUGAGGUAAUGGCUCACCAAGGCGACGACGGGUAGCCGGCCUGAGAGGGUGACCGGCCACACUGGGACUGAGACACGGCCCAGACUCCCACGGGAGGCAGCAGUGGGGAAUAUUGCACAAUGGGCGCAAGCCUGAUGCAGCAACGCCGCGUGAGGGAUGACGGCCUUCGGGAUGUAAACCUCUUUUAGUAGGGAAGAAGCGAAAGUGACGGUACCUGCAGAAAAAGCACCGGCUAACUACGUGCCAGCCGCCGCGGUAA
rnacentral:rRNA from 1 species